AACGAACGCUGGCGGCAUGCUUAACACAUGCAAGUCGAACGCUUCCGAAGGCUUCGGCCUUCUGGAGAGUGGCGCACGGGUGAGUAGCGCGUGGGAACCUGCCCUGGAGUGGGGGAUAACCGAGGGAAACUUCGGCUAAUACCGCAUGCGCCCGGGUAACCGGGGAAAGAUUUAUCGCUCUAGGAGGGGCCCGCGUCGGAUUAGCUUGUUGGUGGGGUAACGGCCUACCAAGGCUUUGAUCCGUAGCUGGUCUGAGAGGAUGAUCAGCCA
rnacentral:rRNA from 1 species